AGAACCUUUCUUGAGACAGUUUCAAACAGAAUCUCCAGUGGUUCCAUUUCUUCAUUCUGCUCUCUUCUCAUUGGUACACACAUUGAUGAAAAAAGAAGAGAGAAGAACAUAGAAGUGAGGUGUAUGAGAAUGUUAAUUAAUUCUGUUGUACACAUUCUUGUUGCAAUAUAUUUUUCAAGGCAGAA